UGGCGAUUUAUUUCUCAACAUAGUCUCCUUUUAGCUCGAUACACAUGACCCAGCGAUGCUCCAACUUCUUUAGUCCAUCUGAAAAAUACGUUUUUUGGAAGUCUGCAGUGUAGGCUUCCGUGGCGGCGAUCACCUCCUCAUUCGACUCAAAUUUCUGCCCGGCGAUUGACUUUUCCAAGUUUGGAGACAAAAAAAAAUGUACGGGGCAAUUUGGCCGUGGCGACGGCGGAAUUUCCAUUUUCCCACGCCCGCUUCCACACACGGUUAAAACAAAACUACGAGUCCAAUUCGGCUGAAAUUUUGACAGUAGCCUAUACGAGAAUGUACUACACGAUAAGUGAUUUCUCUUGCGAUACUGACAUCAUCGGGCAAUGAGGCUAAGUACUUAUCGGACCGUCUUCGUAUUCCAUAUUGAAUGCAAAUAAUCAAGGCGUUGUACUAUAUGUGAACCGCAAUGUCAAAAUUUCUGUUCGGCCAUUGCUCAUGAAAACACAAAUCGUAUCUUUUGGUGACAAAUGCAUUCGUUGGCAAAAUAGCUGCUCGUGCUUUACUGUAGCUAGAUAUAUACAAUAAGCGGUCGAAUCAUAACAGUGAAGAAGGAUGUUUUUAGUAUAUCUUAUCGCUUCUAGCCGCGCAAUCAAUGCCUUUCCAAGCAAGAUGUACUUCUGUUUGACUUCCAUCGAUGGGAAAAAGAGUACUAUGAGCUAACGGCGAUGGUGACACAAAGCAACGCUCCACUGAUUUCGCUCAGGGAAGAGGAGAAUGCUGUGCAUAUACCGGGAAGGAGAUUAUCAGUUACCAUGUUUUAAUCAAGGGAAAUCCUGAGCCGUGGCAAUACUCGAGUUGAUAUGAAACCAUAACCACACAACUAAACAAAAAGUAAAUUAUUCUGGAAGCUACGUCGUCUCACGUCUUGUCAUGAAAGUGUCAAGAACGAAACACCUAUCGUUUCAUCAUAUUGGCAAUUAAUUUCGAUAUGAUAUUUUACUUGCCAAUACAGAUAUACUUCGCCUACUGCUCCACAUCGAUAUGUACUCAUUGGGUUGAAAGGUAAUUCUGACAUAUCGUCAUCGCUCAUUAACAUUUUGGAUGCAGAGCAUAUUACAUAUCCUCAAUUUGCGAUUAUAAUUGUAAUAUCAGGGAAUUGGGAAUUGGAUUGAAAUUGACGGUCCUAUAUUAGAUGUUUAAUCUCUGCGUAGAACAGAUUAUAAUCUAUGAUUAUAAUGGGCUCUUCUUAAAUUGUCCAUGAGAACUGGUUUCAAGUGGAUCAAUGAGUGGAUUUUUCCAAUGAAAUUCAGUUGCAACGGUUCCCGGAGGAGAUCGGCUACAGUGAAGGAAGGCAAAUGUGCAAAACACUAUUUUUCGCAUUAGAUCAGCGAAUGUAGAAGAAUUUUCAUGUGGACAAGAGCAGUGCACAACGCAACCGGGACCAGUCGAGCCAACCAGCCUGUAGCCACUUUUUGUUAAUCGCUGCAUCAUAGCCAUUAUAUCGCCAUCUUAUCCCGUCUUUUUAAACCAAUACAAAAUAAGUGUCCUUACCGUCGACUGUGUGAGGAAGUACUCCAAAAUCGAUUCGCUUUGUUAUCCUGUACUCAGACACCUAGCACGCGAUCAACAGAUCUUUACAGAGCGUCGUCGAGGAGAACGACAGCCGUACUUAAAUCAUCUGCACGGAGUAUUGGUAUACUUUGCCUCAAAAAAAGGAGGAGCUGGGAAUCUCUUGAGAUGGAGGUCACCGACACUGAAACAAACGACUCCGCUAUGUUUGUUCAAACAGGAAGGAGGAAAUCAAACUCAAAUGCGUUCAACCAGAGAGAUCUAUUGCCCAACUCGCGACCUGUUCCAUUGCGUCUGUUGUCUACACUCGACGCGUCAAAGCCAAGCCGGAAGGGAAAGCCCUUAACAUUCAUCUGAUCGUGGGUCCUCUGGCAAGGUUUUCCUUCGUAACUGAAAUUUAUAAGGUAAGACUAAAAAAAACUGCGAAUCUUAGAGGCGAAUGAACUGCAAAGUUUAAAGCCUCUUAAAAACAAAGAAAGAAAUAAACUGCGAAUUGUCCUUAUCGGGAACACGCAAACGUAAUUGUUGUCGACUAGUAUUUUACGUAGAACUAGCGGUACACAAACGCAAUUGUUUCACGAUUCGUCACGUUCGGUUCUGUAGGCAUAACUUCAAUUAGAUUGCGAGAUGAAUAUGGUACUGUUGGAUAAUGUGAAAUAAAUGAUAUUUUAAAUGA